rnacentral:rRNA from 1 species
AUCCUGGCUCAGAGUGAACGCUGGCGGCGUGCCUAACACAUGCAAGUCGAACGAUGAUGGAGGAGCUUGCUCUUCCUGAUUAGUGGCGCACGGGUGAGUAUACCAUAGAUAAUGUACCUCUUAGUUCGGGAUAGCCACUGGAAACGGUGAUUAAUACCGCAUACGCCCUGAGGGGGAAAGUGGGGGACCGCAAGGCCUCACGCUAUACGAGCGGCCGAUGUCGGAUUAGCUAGUUGGUAGGGUAAAGGCCUACCAAGGCGACGAUCCGUAGCGGGUCUGAGAGGAUGAUCCGCCACACUGGGACUGAGACACGGCCCAGACUCCUACGGGAGGCAGCAGUGGGGAAUUUUGGACAAUGGGCGCAAGCCUGAUCCAGCCAUGCCGCGUGAGUGAAGAAGGCCUUCGGGUUGUAAAGCUCUUUCAGACGGAAAGAAAUCGGUGAGGUUAAUACCUUCACUGGAUGACGGUACCGUAAGAAGAAGCACCGGCUAACUACGUG